ensembl:lncRNA
UUGUCCUGCUGCUGAAUAAUUAUCAGCUUCAUGUUACUGGUCAGAGUUCAGGGCUUGAACUCAUGUUUGUUCACUCACAAUUAAGCAGAAUUAAUUUGGUUUCAUGAUGCUGAACGCAGGUCAUUCUGUUCAUGUUGAACCUCAUAGUUCUUCACAAACACCAUGUUCUGCUCUUUACUGCGCUGUGGUUUAAAUACAGCAUUGGUUCUGUGCUGUUUCUAUGCUGGAAGGCUGUAGUUACGAUAUAAUAUUAGUACUCAUAAUAUUAGUACUGUUAUAAUAUCCAUUCUGUUAUAAUAUCAGUUCUGUGUGAUGCAUUUAGGGACCAUGUUUUACUACUGAGAGGACACACUGACAGGCUGUUCUCUGUUUUUACAGUAAAAUAUUCACUUUUCCUCAACAGCAAGUUGAAUUACUUGAUGUUCAGCACAUUUCUGUAAUAAUUAGAUUUCUAAAGUAUUAUUUCUAUUAGUUUUACAAGAUAGAUCAGAAGAUAUUGUUUUAGAAUUUAAAUUAUAUCCCACUAAUCUAGCAGUUCGACCCUCUGCUACAACAAUCUGACUCCUCCUUUAAAUCUGUGCUGUGCAUCUCAUACUACAAAUCUGGCCUGUUUUAAAGGGUUUUUAAAUGCUACGACUGAGGAAAAUGAUUUUCCACAGCAGGAAAGUUGAGCAGCUUUUGUUGUGUUUCUGAUUCCCCAUCUUUUCUUUCAUAGACUUGUCCUGGUCCUGUUACUGACUGCAGCUACGUCUCGGUGUUCCUUCACCUACGCUGGUUAACUUCAACUGUGCAGGAAACUUAGAACCAGAGUAGCUACAGCACAAAGCAGUUUAUACACGACCUCGUAGACGUUUUCAAGCCUUUAGAGAUGUUUUACAGCUGCAGUUAUGUGAGGAGAAGCAGAGUUAGUGUCUAACCUUCUGUGAAGGCUCAGUGUGGAUGUUUUAUAUGCAGGUCUGGAGCUCCAUGUCUGCUGGUUGUUGUGUGUUGAAAUGGGAUGUCCAGCGUUUGUUCUCUGAGCUGCUGCAGAGGAAACAUGGAGCAGAAUGUGUGAGCGACGUGUAAACACUAAAGAAGUUGAACGUGAUCACAGAUAACUCAAAAACAACUCAUGAACAGACAAAUGUUUUGAUUCAGACAGAAUGUGUGGAUUAAUAUUUAAACCAGAGUCUGACUGACAGAAGAGUUUCUCCUUCUUACAUCCACUAAUAUUAACUUUUACGUGUCAUGUAGACGGAUACAGGAGAGUCGACAUGACAGCAGUUUGUCUCUGAUAAAGAUUGUUAUAGAUUUAGUUUAACCCUUUAAUGCUGAUCGUCCACUUGUAUUCAGACUGCAGCUGAGAUAUCGUAUCCAUUCCCCCAAUACCAGUUUAUACAUAUUCAAUACGUACCUAGGAACCUUUAGCAAGCACCAGUUUCUCAUAGGACCGGCUGGAGUGGGACCUAAUUAUUAUAUAUCUGUUCUAUGUGCUAUAGACAAAUUAACAAUCUCCACUUAAUUCAGCAUCAGCUUGAAAGCAAAAACACAAAUAAUACAUUUUUUUUUAGAUAAUUGUGAAUAAAUUCAGGCAUCAAGAGGUUAAACUUUGGUACAACGAGCACAGAGAAACUUGGAGCAUCAAACACUUGAUUUCCUGGAUUCUGGUGAAUUUUCUGCAUCACAUUAUGGAGGAAACGUCUUUAUUUGUUUAAAGGAACACAACAUGUACGGGUUAAAUCUAAUUAUAAUGGAAUGUGAUGCAGGAAAGCUUCUGCGUUACUAAAUAUUUAUUUUCCUGCAGAUGAACUUUUAAUGUUAACCCUGCUGAUGGAACACAUGGAGACCAGAUUUACUCCUCUGACCUCUCUGAAUGUAGCAACGUUUCAUAGGAGUUGAUCUUUCAAAAUCUGAACUUUGUGCACAUUCAGAGCAGAUCACACAAAUCUGUGUUUGACACGCUGCAGAAUUAAGACUGUCAGGAGUAAUGGUGCAUCUAUGAGCUAAUAUACAGCAGCAUUUUUUAAAAAUUAAAGUCUUUUGGUUUUUGUUUCCAACCUGAAAUCUCUGCUUGUGUAUUAAGAUGUGACUGCAACAGAGAUGUAGAUUAAAAUCCCUGAAAUAAUCACUAAAACCUCAAAAACUUGCUACUGAAAAGUGCAAAUACAGAAACUACAAAAAGAGGCCAUCAUAGUUUGAUCCUAUAUCACCUCCAUAUCCUUUUUCUUAAAGUUCUGCCCUCUUAAAACAAACAAAACUGACUCCAAGCCAAAGAUGGUUCACAUUUUCAGUUAUUUGAGGCCCUCAGGUCUUGGAGUUGUUGAUGCCUUUUAAUAAGAAUCCACAUGAUGAGUGUGUAGUUGUAGUUUUUGCUCUGCAGCUUCACAUCUCAGUGACAGAAGAGCUCCUUUAUGAGACAAAUAAAAAAGGUGGAAGGAUGAAAGUUGCUGCUGAAAACUAGACUCGAGUAUUUUUGUUAUUUUUGUACAUGACACGACUACGUUAAACAGAUUCUUCCAUGUCGUCCGACUGACCAGCUGAUUGUUGAACAGUGAUCACACAAAACCACAUUCGUAAAUCCUGAGUGGUACCAAUAAUGUCAUAAACAUCAGUGUUCACCUGCCAUGUAUCAGAGUAACGGAUUAAUAAAUCAUUUGGUGACA